GAAGAAGGCCCAGCCCUGGCUCACAGCUGAGUCACAUUACAACUCCCUCUCCGGUAAGCUGGAGGAGAGAAUGCCAAACCACCGGAAGACCAGUCAUGUGGGCUUUCCGGGGCAGCAGGUACAUCUGGGCCCUCUUCAAAGGCUUGUGGAUGCCAUCACCUCAGCGUGAAAUCCUUCGACUAUCCAGUGACAUCCUAGGUACAGAUGAGCAGCAUGUCACCUCCUGAGACAUUUAUUCACCUCUGAGCCAAGAAAUAUGACCUCUUUAGAUUUCCUUCCUUCACGACUCAAUAAUCCUGAUUGUAUGUACAGAUCACCCUGUUUAUCCACUCAUCUACAGGUUUUCCUGCAACGAUCUUCCAUUUCAUGGAAUGAAUGCCAGUGAAUGACUAGUCAGGCCCAGAAUAGGAAGUGCUGACUGUUUACGUGGAACAAUGCUUAUGACACAUUGUUGAGUGAUGAAGGAGGAACUCAGGACAACGUGACUCCAGUGAUUGUCAUCAUCCACCUCCGCCAUGUAUAAGAAAGUGGAACUGAGUCAUAUCCUACUGCACCAAGCAGCCCUGGUUGAUGGUUUUAGUACUGUUUAUUUUCUAUUACCACAGCAAUACUGGCUCUUUCACUCACUCCUUGUGGGUCUCUGAGCAAAUAAAUAAACUGUGUUUUAGUUUGGG
rnacentral:lncRNA from 1 species